rnacentral:rRNA from 1 species
GACGAACCGAGCGAACGUUGUUCGGAAUCACUGGGCUUAAAGCGUGUGUAGGCGGAUCGUUAAGUACCUUGUGAAAUCCCACGGCUCAACCGUGGAACGGCUGGGUAUACUGGCGGUCUUGGGCCAUUCAGGGGCGACUGGAACAAGCGGUGGAGCGGUGAAAUGCGUAGAUAUCGCUUGGAACGCCAACGGUGAAAACAGCUCGCUGGGGGUGUGCUGACGCUGAGACACGAAAGCCAGGGGAGCGAACGGG